CUCUUGAAUCUUCAGUGAAAAAUGAAUAAAAUAGCUAGAUCCACAAUAGUAGCUUGAAUCUUCGAGAGUAAUACGUUACAAUAAGUUUUCAAGAUGGAAACAUGAUAAAAGAUACCUAAAUUAAACCUAAACUAGGUAUUUAUAUGUUCCCAUGUACUAAGGAUUUGAAAUUUGAAGGGAUUAGAAAUUUGAACUCAUUAAUGCCGCAUCGAAGUUGACGGUCAUGUUGACAGCCCGUCGAUAGCCUGACAAUCCAUCAUGUGAACCGUCCCUGAUGGUCCCAAACUGCUACUUUCUAGUUAAGGUGUGAUGGUCAUGUUGAUGGGAUGUCACGGUCUGUCGCAUGAACCGUCGCUUGAUCACUUGAGAUGUCAUUCACUAUUUCAGCUUGACGGUUAAGUUGUUCGUCAGAGGUUCGACGGUCUGUUACUUGGACCGUCAUAGGAGUCAUCUACUUGGACCAUUCUGUUUAGCCUUGAUGGUCACUUUGGUGGUCCGUCACAUGGCUAACGGUCCACAAGUUUGACCGUCAGUGUCCUUUUUCUGCUACUUUUCCAAGUUUCUUCUUCAGCUAAAUCCUUAACCUGAAAACACUAAAAUCCAAUAUCAAAUACAACAACAGCUUCUUGAAAACGUACAAUUAUCCCUUGAAAAAGAUAUAAAAUAUUUUUUCAAAUACCGGGACAUCAGUCUACCAGUUGUGGACUGAUGUUGUUGGGCUUAGACAGGGUACUGAUUCUGUUACUGAAUACUAUUCCAUAUUACAUGAUUUAUAGGGUGAAUUAGAUGUGUUGGUCCAUUCUCCCAUGUGCAAUUGUGCUGAAGCUAAGACUCAUAUUGAAUAUUUGCAACAAUAAAGGUUAUUGAUGUUUUUAACGGGGUUGAAUGAGACCUUCAGUCAUGUGCGAAGUGAUAUUCUUCUUAAACUAGAGGAAAGUCAGAGAUUGUUAGGUUUCGUGGGAUCUAGCAAGGAACACUUUACUAUGUUAGCAGGAAAAGGUCAUACCUUUAGAAAUGGAAAGAAGCUACAAACAGGGGGAGCUUGUGAGAUUUGUGGGUAAAAAAAUCAUGUAACAACAGGCUCUUAUAGACUAAUAGGCUUUCCACUAGAUUUUAAGAGCAAGAAGAAAUUUCCCAUAUCAGGAUCACAACACUCACCAGCUUAUCACAAUGGAGUCAGUAACUCUAGGACAGAAAAUUACAAUCAUACCCGAUCGUCAAGCUUCAGGCCUUAUGCCAAUAGUGCAACAACAACUAAUAAAGGGUAACAAGCACUAAAUGAGCUCACUAUUGAUGAAAUGGAACAGGUGCACAAUAUGAAGCACAACAAAGAUGCAAAUGACUGCAGAGCUAACCUAGUAUGUAAUUUUUCUAUGCAAAAUAAUUGUGGUACACAAAAAUGGAUUAUCGAUUCCGGAGCUACUCACCAUAUUACUUCAUGUAAAGACCUCUUAACUCAUAUAAAGGAACUAGGCAACACAAGCAUAGUACAGAUGCCCAUAGGAAAGAAGACAAAAACUAAACAUACUGGAGAAACUACUAUUCUGGGAAACUUUGCAGUGAAAAAUAUCCUACAUGCCCCUGACAUCAAGUUCAAUCUACAUUUAGUAACAAGGCUCACUAAGGACUUAUCUUGCAGUAUCAGUUUCUUCCCUGAUUUUUAUGUCUUGUAGGGUCUUUACAGUGGCAAGGUGAUUGAAACUGGUAGAGAACACUGUAAGCAGAAGUCCAGCUAAAGCUGAAUAUAGGAGCAUGACAGCUGUUGUAUCUGAAGUAACAUGGCUUGCAGGCUUUUGAAAGAGUUGAAUAUGAACAUUGAAACACCUGUCAAGGUGCAUUGUGAUUACAAGGCAGCAAUCCAAAUCAGUGUUAAUCCCAUCUUUUAUAAGAGGACUAAACAUAUUGAGAUAGACUAUCAUUUUGUUAGGAAGAAAAACAAAAGUGGUUUGAUCAGUACAGAAUACAUUGGUACUAAGGAACAACUUGCAGACUUGCUCACAAAAGGACUAGAUGUUGCACAACAUCAUUCCUUAUUGAACAAGCUGGGACUACUGAAUGUAUACAUAGACUCUAGUUUGAGGGGGAGUAUCAGAAUGAGUGAAGUAAAGCACUUAGCAGUUAAAGGAAGUUAAGCUUCCACAGUCAGUUAGCAACACCCACUUAUAUUGCUUAGCUGUCACUUAUCUGGACAAAAUAGUUAGUUAGUGAGGUGCAAUACAUGUGGAGCUUGUAUAUGUGCACUAGUAUAAAAGAAGCAAUGUACAAAUCAAUUGUAUAAUAUAAGAAAAUAUCUUCUUCUAGUUCUCCCUCUCUGUAUUCUUCUCCCCAAACUGCUUAGCAGCAUGAGCUCAACAGUUUGAGAAUUAUAUCAAUUUCAUUCCAUAGAUUCUCAGUUUCUCUAGCACAAUAACUUUACUUUCUUUAUAUUUAACAUUGACAUAUGUUGACGUAGAUGAGGUUUUGGAAGAACACACCAAUAACUUUCCAUUUUCUUCUAAUUUGGAUGAGCAUUUGGAAUAAUUAGUGAAAUUACAAUUUAAUUUCACAACAACAAUAACUAAAACUCUUAUUAUAAGAUUAAAUGACUAACAAUAUUUUACUUUCCCAUUGUUAUUUCAAUUUAUGGAACACAAUAAUUAGUCAAUUUAUGUAUCUGCUCAUAAAUACUAUUCUACUAGUACUUUACUUCGCCAUUGUUAUUCAACAUAUAGAUCACUAAUUAUAUAAGACUAAAUGACUAACAAAUGGGCCUUAAAUAAAGGGAAAGGACAUGACAUGGCCAUUUUAAAAAAAAAAUGGCCCAUAAUUGAAAAGGUGGACAUGCUGUAGCCAGUCGGCUAAUGUAAUUCCCCUUUUUAGUCAUUUGGUCCAAUUGGACACAUGCAGUCCCUAUACUCAAUUGAUACACUUUUAUACCAAAUUGAUACACUUUUAUACUAUAUUGAUACACUUUUUAAAAAAGGGAAAGGAAAUUCUAUGCAAGCACAUGCAGUCCCUAUACCCAAUUGAUACUCUUUUAUACCACAUUAAUACACUUUUAUACUACAUUGAUACACUUGCAGUUUUCAUAUACUCAAUUGAUACUCUCUCAUACUAGAUUGAUACAUUUUUAGAAUGCAUGUAGAAACUAUAUAGAGUCGUAUAAAAUAUGUAUCUAAAUAAUAAUUGUAGUUAAAAAUUGUAUAAAAUAUGUAUAAAAAUGCUAUAAUUAUUAUAUAUAAUAUGUAUAUGUAUAGAAAUUGUAUCAUUAUUAUAUAUAAAUAUAUAUCUUUAACAACUGUAUUUUAUUAAAAGUAUAUAAUAUUGUAUUUUAUUGUAUAAAUAAGUAAAACUAAAUAAAACAAAUAGUAUGUUAUUUUAAUAAUAUUGGUGAAUGCAAAAUAAUUUGGAAAAAAAAGCAAUUACUCUAUUGUUUAAAAAGAAUAAAAAAGAGUAGAAUUUUUAAAAAAGAAAAGGAGCCAAAACGGGUGAGGUAGCAAAUCUAAUUACUAACUAAUUACUAUAGUUUUAGUUAGUACUGCAAAUCUAAUUACUAACGACCGAGAAAUGAGAAAAGUAAGACUAGCGCCUACAUUACUUUACAAUUAAAGAUGAAAAGUCGGUCCAGGACACAAAACGGAAAGGGCCGAAUUGUGAUGUAGAAUUGAGGUGCUAGUUACUGGAUUUUUAAAUUUAGGUACUAGUUUUGUAAAAUUAUUUUAGUUUUAAGUGUUAUUUUUGAUCUUUCCCCUUAAAUAAAUUGCACCAAAACAAUAUGACUAAAACUUUAAUUUUCACUAAUUGAUAUUGCAAAUAUAAAUAUCUUCAUAUUGUUUUAUCAAUACAUAUUUUUCUCCAAAAUGUAACUAGCUCAUCGAAAUCUCUAAUUAACUAGGUAUUAAUCAGUUGUAGUUGCUCAACAACAAACAUGAACAAGUCAACUAAUAAAGAGUAUUACUUGGACAGAUGUUGAGAGAAAUUAUGAAUCGAUAUAGUAUAAUGAUUAGCCAAAAAAGAAAAAAGUAUAAAUAACAUAAAUACCAACUAUUUUGAAAGUAAUUAUACUCUCUCUCACUUUUUUAAUUACUUUACUUUCUCUCCCUAUUAAUAUACAUAACAUAGCCGACAUAUAUAUAGCAUUCUGUGUAUAUGUUGGAAUUUUUGUAAUAUGUUUAGGGAGUUGAGAUUUUUUGUAAUAUUAAAAACAUAAGUUGUGUAUUUAUGUAAUUUUUAGAGGAAAAAACUUACUUUGAGUACUUUGGUAACCAUGCAACAAACUAUCUAACUAAUUUUGAAAACAUGAAUGGGAUGGAUAACCAAUUUUCCUGUUUAGUAUUCAUUAUCUAAGGGACAAGUAACUUUGGCCCAUGCCAUGUUUCUUAAUAGACAUAGUGCUAAAAAUUACACAAAUACAUAACUUAUAUUUUUAAUAUUACAAAAAAUUUCAACUCCCUAAAUAUAUUACAAAAAUUUUAAUAUAUACAUAGAAUGUUAUGUAUAUGUUGUCUAUGUUAUGUAUAUUAAUAGAGAGAGAGUAAAGUAAUUAAAAAAUGGAAGAAAAUAUAAUUACUUUAAAAGGGUUGAUAUUUUUGUUCUUUAUACCAUAUAUAUUUGGUUGAAUGAAUAUGUCAUAACUCAUAUUACACCAAUAAGGACAUCCCCGCUAUACAUAGUAGCUGGUUCAAUUAAGUAUGGAAAUUUCGGAUAUUUAUGGGGUGUUUGGCCAUGAGAAUGUUUUAUUUUUAUUUUUUAAAAAAUUAUUUCAUGAAAGUUGUAGUGUUUGGCCACAAGAAUUUUCAAAUACAAUUUGAAAUUAUAUUUGAACAAAUUGUAUUUAGAAAAGUAAAAAUAAUGAGUUAAUGGUGAUUGGAUUGACUUAAUUAUUUUUAAAUACUUUUGACUUUAAAGUUUUUUUUUUUUUCUUGUAAAACUUUAAGCAGUGUUUACAAAACUAAAAAGCACUUAUUACUUUUAGGCCAGUAAAGUAUAAAAGUAAGUCAAAAGUCAAAAGUAGAGUCUCUAUUUAUGACUUUUAGCUUAUAAGCUAGGAGUACUUAUUAAAAGCUCAUCCAAACACUAAAAUGUUUUCAUUUUUACUUUCUCACAAAAUGUCAAAAAUAAUUUUAAUUUAUAUUCAUGAUCAAAUACAACUUUAAACUUCAAUUUCAAUUUCAACUCAAAAAGUAAUUAUCUGGCUCUUUUUUUUUUUUUUUUAAAUGGAUUUAGGUAGUUAAUAAAAAUGGUAGGGAUUUUAUGUAAUUCAGUGAAAAUAAGUUGUGGUGGUAAUGUAUUUUUUUUCUUUUUUAAAGGACUGAGAUAAUAUUAAUAUUUAACUUUGUGUUGACAAUGAUUUGGUAAAAGGAAAUGUACUCCGUACUUGAUUAAGGCGACCUAUUUCCUGAUUCAAAAAAAUUAUGUGCCUGAAGAAUCACAUUAACAGUUCUAAAUAUUGACAAAUGACGAAGCUUUUAGGAAAAAUAAAGAAAGUUAGUAAUUAAUGAUCUAAUAAUUAAAGAGGUAAAAUAAUGUAUAAUCGAAUCAUCACCGUUGAAAAUGGGUGACAUAUGCUUAAAAUAAUUGUAAGUAAAUACAGAUGUACGAUCAUGCAGAAACGUCAUAGGCUAUAAAGAAAGCUAGGGCGAUUAUUCCUUAUACUCUCUCACUCCCAAAGUGGUUCCACUUAAUUUUAAAUACUAUUACUUUUUUUUUAUUUGUCUUUUCAAUUAAAAGUGGUUCCACUUAUUUUUAAAUAUUAUUACUCAUUUCUUUAAAAAGGGUAAUUUUAUAGCUUUAACAAAGUCAAUACUUAUUUCUUAAAUAUCGUGUCUGGUCAAAUAACGACACAUAAUUUGGAACGAAGGGAGUAUUUCAUUUGAUCCCUCAGGUGUCGUUUGGUUUGAAAAUGGUUAUCCCGGAAUAACUAAGGGGAAAAUAUUGGGAUAAGUUAUCUAGGGUUGGAUUAAUCCCUCCAACCAAAUAAAGGAAAAUAUGUUCUUUUAUUUUAUUCCGGGAUAAUUAGUUAUCUCGGAAUAACCAUUUUCAAACCAAACGACCGUUAUAUAUGACCUGUGACUAAUGCAUAAACGCUGGUUAUAAAAGUUUUUUUUUUAUAUAUUACCUGUGACUAAUGCAUAAACGCUGGUUAUAAAAGUUUUUUUUUUAUAUAUUACCUGUGACUAAUGCAUAAACGCUGGUUAUAAAAGUUUUUUUUUUACUUAUAUAUAAAACUAGCACUAUAUAAUGUUUCGAUGUACUCUAACUAGAUGAUUCCAAAAAUGACAACUUCCCUCGAAACUAAAUAAUUAGAAAUAUUAUUUUGAUGAUUCAAAGCUAAGAUGGAGUUGUUUGGAUGGCAAACACCUCUCGCUUUUAACUCGAAGGUUGUGAGUUUGAGUCGCCAAAGGAAAAAAAAGGGCGGGAGGGAGCAAAAGAGGUGGGAGUUGCUUGAAUGUUAUGUUGGGUUCUAGAUCAAAAGUGUGAGUGAAAAAUGGAGGGAACCAAGUGGAGAAAAAGAUUUGAGACAACACUCAAAAAUGAAAAGUGUACUUAAAAGUGAAAAAUCUACUAAUUAUCCCACAUAGGUGGGAGAAGAAAACUUUGAAGUGUUUAUAUUAUGAAACACUCACUUCACAUAGUAAGUGGGGCAAGAACCAAGAGGUGUCUUGCGCCAUCGUUGUCGCUUGCUUGAAUUUGGAUUUGGAUUGAUGAGAUCUACCUUUUUGAACAAAAUUUAUUUGAAACGAUUUGGAUUUGUCAAAUGAUCUAUCGAUGAGAUCUAUCUUUUUACACAAGAUUUAUUUGAAACGUAUAAUUUUCUAGUCCGAAAAUGACACACUGAUUUGGAAAAAGAGGUACUUUUUUCGGAUGGUUAUGACUGUCCAGUAAAAAGACACUGAUUCGAUGAAUAGACAUGACUGUUUUGAUGAACAGACAUGACUGUUUCAGAGGACAUAUAUAUGAACCAUUGCUUCUUUUCGAAAGAGUCACCUAAUGACUAUAUAAAUCUGCAUUUAUCCACAGAUUUAGGAACGAAAUUUUUUUCUGCAAAAGCACUUCUUGUUUUCUAAAAAUACUCGGUGUGAUCAUCUAAUCGUUGAGUGAGUUCGACGAAUCCAAUAGUUUGAGGUACCGCUAUUGUUGGAUUGAAUCUAUUUUAUCCUAGGAGGAAAAUUCUAUAACCUCAGGUACUUGAGGGGAAUUGUUUCCUUAAGGACACUCCGUGAAUUCGGAGGACUUGGCUUUAACUUUCUGUUUCAUCUUAUUUCUGAAAUUAUAACACACUUCUUGGAUAGAUCAUUUUUUAUCUUGUGUUCAAGGUGUUGAAACUUCAAGUUGCUCUUGACAAGUUUGGUUUUGAAAUUAGUUGAACUGUACAUAACAUACAGAUUUUGUGUACUCGAAAACAUUAAAGACAACAGUCUUAAGGAAAUAACUUUCGAAAUCCGUAUUGCUUGGUUUCUGGAGAUUAAAGCAUUAAGCUUUCUACUCCGUUUGAACUUAACUAGUGAUUUGAAGAAAUAAAGUCUUCAUCACAUGUUAAAGAUCACUCGGUUGAUGAUUGAAAGUCAUAAAAACUUUAUUAUUAAACUAGAAACAAGGGGUGUUUAAAGUUGUUUCAACUUUAUUAAUAGUAUUUUGAUAUACUAAACUUACUGUCUUGUUGUGACAGGAAAAUGACUACUAACAGUCAAAUGAAUGAUGCUGAAACGACUGUGGCAAUAACUAAUGUUGCUACAACGAGUCGUACGAAUGCUUCGCUAGCAAUGACACCAACGGAGAAACCCAAAAAAUUCAAGGGUGUAGAUUUCAAAAGGUGGCAACAUAAGAUGUUCUUCUAAUUUACAACUUUAUUUCUUCAACUAUUUACAUUUAAAGAAGCUCCUGAGGUGCCCGAAGGAACUUCAGACCAGGAGAAAUUUGUCGUUAUAGAGGCGUAAAAACACUCAGAUUUCCUAUGCAGGAAUUGCAUUCUAAAUGGCCUCCAAGAUGAAAUAUACAACAUGUAUAGUGGAAUGAAGACGACAAAAGAGUUAUAGGGGGCGCUAAAAAGAAAGUACAAGACUGAAGAUACGGGAACCAAAAAGUUCUUCGUUGCAAGAUUCCUAGAGUUUAAAAUGAUUGACAGCAAAUUUAUUGUAUCUCAAGUCCAAGAACUGCAAGUAAUCAUCUAUGAUCUCCUCUUGGAAGGUAUGACUUUAAUGAAUAUCUUAGUUGAACAUGUUAAAAAUGUUCUUAAUGUUCACAUAAACUUUAUUGUAGGUAUGGUUGUGAAUGAGGCAAAUCAAGUCACGACAAUAAUGUAGAAGUUACCACCUAUGUGGAAGGACUUCAAGAACUACUUGAAACAUAAGUAAAAAGAGAUGAUGGUCGAAGAUCUUAUAGUAAGACUACAUACUGAAGAAGAUAAUAGAGCCGCAGAAACAAGAUCGAAAGAAAAUUCUGAAGUGGAGCAAAUAUUAUAGAAGACGACCAGAACAACUCCAAAAAGCGGAAGAAAGCUGGACAGGAAAACAAUCAACCGAAGAAGAAAUUCAAGGAAAAAUGCUUUAACUGUGGAAAGGUUAUCCACAAGUCAACAGAUUGUCGUUCCCCAAAGAAAGAAAAAAGAAAGACCAAGCAAGUAUGGCCGAGUCUAAGAAAGAAAUAGACGAUCUGUGUGCCAUGCUGACUGAAUGCAACUUGGUGGGAAAUCCUCGAGAAUAGUGGAUGAAUUCUGGUGCCACCCGCCACAUUUGUACUAAUAAAGAGUUACUUACUGUUUUUGCUCUGGCUCAAGGCGAAGAAAAGAUAUACAUGGCUAACUCAGCAACUGCAAAAGUUGAAAGAACAGGAAAAGUUUGCCUGAAAAUGACAUCAGGAAAAUUAUUGACUUUGAACAAUAUCCUGUAUGUACCAGAGUUAUGGAAUAACUUAAUUUCUAUAUCACUUCUUGAUGAAAAUGGAUUCAAAUGUGUAUUUAUUUCCAAAAGAAUUGUACUUAGUAAAGGAGAAGUGUACGUAGAAAAAGGCUACCUCACAGAGGGCCUAUUCAAAAUGAAUAUCAUGAAUGUUGAAAUCAAUAAAAGUUUUGUUUCUUCUUACUUUCUUUAGUCUUAUGAUUUGUGGCAUGAACGAUUAGGACAUGUCAAUUACAAGUCAACAGAUUGUCGUUCCCCAAAGAAAGGAAAAAAGAAGGACCAAGCAAGUAUGGCCGAGUCUAAGAAAGAAAUAGACGAUCUGUGUGCUAUGCUGACUGAAUGCAACUUGGUGGGAAAUCCUCGAGAAUAGUGGAUGAAUUCUGGUGCCACCCACCACGUUUGUACUAAUAAAGAGUUACUUACUGUUUUUGCUCCGCCUCAAGGCGAAGAAAAGAUAUACAUGGCUAACUCAGCAACUGCAAAAGUUGAAAGAACAGGAAAAGUCUGCCUGAAAAUGUCAUCAGGAAAAUUAUUGACUUUGAACAAUAUCCUGUAUGUACCGGAGUUAUGGAAUAACUUAAUUUCUGUAUCACUUCUUGACGAAAAUGGAUUCAAAUGUGUAUUUAUUUCCAAAAAAAUUGUACUUAAUAAAGGAGAAGUGUACGUAGAAAAAGGCUACCUCACAGAGAGCCUAUUCAAAAUGAAUAUCAUGAAUGUUGAAAUCAAUAAAAGUUUUGUUUCUUCUUACUUUCUUUAGUCUUAUGAUUUAUGGCAUGAACGAUUAGGACAUGUCAAUUACAAAACAUUACGAAAACUGAUUAAUUUAGAAGUUUUGCCAAACUUUGAGUGCAAUAAAUCAAAAUGUCAAACGUGUAUGGAAUCAAAGUAUGCUAAGAGUCCAUAUAAGUCUGUUGAAAUGAAUUUCAAUCCCUUAGACUUAAUACACACUGAUAUUUGUGAUAUGAAGUCAAUACUAUCUUGUGGUGAAAAAAAUAUUUUAUAACUUUUAUUUACGAUUGCACUAGAUAUUGUUAUGUAUAUUUGCUAAACAGUAAGGAUGAAGCAAUAGAUGUGUUUAGCCAAUAUAAAAUAGAAGUAGAAAAUCAAUUAGAGAAAAAGAUCAAAACUAUAAGAAAUGAUAGGGGUGGAGAAUAUGAAUCUCUCUUCGCAAAAAUAUGUGUAGAGAAUGGAAUUUUUCAUCAAUCUACGACCCCGUAUUUACCUCAAUAUAAUGGAAUUGCGGAAAGGAAAAACAAAACGUUGAAGGAAAUGAUGAAUGCCUUACUUAUAAGUUUAUGGGGGAAAACUAUCCUUACAGCUAACCGAAUAUUCAAUAGAGUACCCCAUAGUAAGACACAAUCAAUUUCAUAUGAAAAAUAGAAAGGAAGGAAACCUAACUCAAAAUAUUUCAAAGUGUGGGGGUGUUUAGCGAAGGUCCAAGUUCGUAUGCCUAAAAAGGUAAAGAUAGGACCUAAGACGGUGGACUAUAUAUUCUUAGGAUAUGCUAAAAGUAGUAAAACAUGUUGGUUUUUGGUUCAUAAAUCUGAACAUUUGGAUAUCAAUGAAAGUACGGUAAUUAAAUCAGAUAAUGUUGAAUUCUUUGAACAUAUUUAUUCGUAUAAAAAUAGACAUGAACAGUUUAGUGGGGGUCUAAACGACCUCGAGAUGAACCAAGUGAGGAUGUACAUAAUGAUGAGAAUUCACGACGUAGUACGCGCCAAAGAAUGUCAACUUCAUUGGAUUAGAUUUUGUAAUAUUUCUCUUAGAAAGUGAUCCUCAAACAUUUAAAGAAGCGAUGACGUCUUCAGACUCAUCCUUUUGGAAAGAGGCAGUCAAUAGUGAGAUUGUUUCAAUCUUAAGCAACCAUACGUGGGAGUUAAUUGAUCUUCCUCUAGGAAAUAAACCUUUAGGUUCUAAAUGGAUCUUCAAAAGAAAAAUAAAAGUGGAUGAAACUAUUGACAAAUACAAGGCAAGACUUGUAGUAAAAGGCUUAAAAAGGAAAGAAGACCUUGAUUACUUUGAUACAUACUCAUUUGCAACAAGGGUAACGUCAAUUCGGAUGUUAAUUGUCUUGGUGGCAGUAUAUGGUCUUGAAAUCCAUCAAAUGGAUGUGAAAACAACAUUCCUAAAUGGAGAAUUGGAGGAACAAAUUUACAUGGAACAACCUGAGGGUUUUGUGGUUCCAGGAAAAGAAAAUAAGGUGUGUAAACUUGUUAAGUCACUUUAUGGACUAAAACAAGCACUUAAACAAUGGCAUGCAAAGUUUUACCAAACCAUGUUGGCAAAUCGGUUCAAGAUAAAUGAAUGUGAUAAAUGUGUUUACAUUAAAGACACUCCAAAUCACCAAGUCAUUAUUUGUUUGUAUGUGGAUGAUAUGUUGAUCAUCAGUAGAGAUAUUUCUAACAUAAAUGCUACGAAAUGAAUGCUCGAGAGAAAGUUUGAUAUGAAUAACCUUGGAGUUGCGGAUAUGAUCUUAGAAAUAAGAAUCUACAGAACUCCACAAGGAUUGACAUUGUCACCGUCUCAUUACAUUAAAAAGGUACUUGACAAAUUCAAGUGUUUAGAAUUUGGUAUUGCCAAGACUCCAUUGGACGUGAGCUUCGCACUUCAAAAAAAUGAGGGUCAAAGUGACUCACAGUUGAAAUAUGCAAGAGUGUUGGGAUGUUUAAUGUAUAUCAUGAACUAUACACGACCAGACAUAACAUGUGUUAUUAGUAAGUUGAGUCGGUACACGAGUAAUCCCAAUAAAACUCAUUGGAUGAAAAUGAAAAGAGUUUUGGGGUAUCUUAAAUACACUUAAGACUAUGCUUUGCAUUAUAAUAAAUAUCCCGCGGUACUUGAAGGAUAUAGUGAUGCAAAUUAGAUCACCGGAUCGAAUGAAGUAAAAUUCACGAGUGGAUAUGUAUUUACUAUAGCCGAAGGAGCAGUUUCUUGGAGAUCAUCCAAACAAACAUGUAUUACUCGCUCUACAAUGGAAUCUAAAUUUAUCGCAUUGGAUAAAAUCGGUGAAGAAGCAGAAUGACUCCGAAAUUUCUUGAAAGAUAUUCCUUAUUGUCCCAAACCAUUGACACUAGUAUGUAUACACUAUGGUAGUCAAGCUGCAAUAGGUAGGGCAGAGAUCAUGAUGUAUAACAGUAAAUCUCAUCACAUAAGACGGACACAUAAUACCGUUAGAGAACUUCUCUCUAGUGAAAUUAUCACCGUUGACUAUGUAAAGUCAAAGGAUAAUGUGUCAAAUCCACUUACAAAAGGCCUAUCUAGAGAAUGGGUUGAGAAGACAUCCAAGGAAAUAGGUUUACGGUCUAGGACAAGUCAGCAUGACGGUAACUCUACCUAGCAGAUUGGAGAUUCCAAGAGUUAGGUUCAAGGAGAUCGAAUAAAGUUGUAUCUGACAGGUUCAAUAUUGUCAAUAUAUCAAACUCAUUCUCAUGAUGUAGACAAUGUUUAGUAAAUAAGAAUAAAAAUUAUGGAGUGAAGUCUUUUAAUGGUUAUCUAAAUUUGACCAAAUGGUUUAAUCUACAUGAUUGAACAUUUAGAAAUUACCUAUGUGAGGGUGAAGUCGAAGCCGCUUCAAGGAGAAUGUUUGUAAAGGCCUAUUCUCUAAGCUCUCAUGAGACCAGGAUAUGUUCAUGGAUGAAACGAACAAAAUCGUGAGAACCAUAAAUGGUAAAAGGUUGGUUGUGUGACAUGUGUUGUCUAGGUGUACAUUAAAGCUCGACGGUUUAAGGAUAUCAAAUCUACCGAUUGACCGAGUGAAUUCGAUGCAUGUUCACUACGAAAAGUUCAAAGGGAAACCCAUUUAUUCAGAAGAAAUCAAUCUUUGGUUGAUGAUCACAUACUUGUCCGUAAAGUUUAUGAAAAAGUAGCCAUUCCCCAUUCAUGUGGGAGAUUGUUGGGUUCUAGAUCAAAAGUGUGUAUGGAAAAUGGAGGAAACCAAGUGGAGAGAAAGAAUUGAGAUAACACUCAAAAAUGGACAGUGUACUAAAAAGUGAAAAGUCUACUAAUUCUCCCACAUUGGUCGGAGAAGAAAAUUUUCAAGUGUUUAUAUUAUGAAAUACUUACUCCACAUGGUAAGUGAGGCAAGAACCAAAAGGUGCCUUACACCGUCGUCGUCGCUCGCUCGAUUCGGCUUCAGCUUUUGCUUCUGUUUCGGAUAAAACACAACAUAGUUUUGCCUCCAUUAAAAUGCAUGCAUGCAGUGCAAAAACUGCAGAGAUACGAAAUGCUGCUUCGGAAGGGAUAAAACUCUUCGAUGAAAUAACACACUAAUUUGAGAAAAGAGGUAUUUUUUGGAUGGUUGUGACUGUCCAGUAAAAAGAUACACUAAUUUGAUGAACAGAAAUGACUGUUCUAAAGAACACAUCUUUUGAAAUGAACCAUUGCCUCUUUUCGGAAGAGGCACCUAAUGGCUAUAUAAACCUGCAUUUAUCCACAGAUUUAGGAACAAUAAUUUUUUCUGCAAAAGCACUUCUUGUUUUCUGAGAUACUCCGUGUGAGCAUCUAAUCGUUGAGUGAGUUUGACGAAUCCAAUAGUUUGAGGUACCGCUAUUGUUAGAUUGAAAGCCAUUUUAUCCUGGGAGGAAAAUUUCAUAACCUGGGUACUUGAGGGGAAUUAUUUCCUUAAGGACACUCCGUGAAUUCGGAGGACUUGGCUUUAACUUUUUGUUUCAUCUUAUUUCUGAAAUUAUAACACACUUCUUGGAUAGAUCACUUUUUAUCUUGUGUUGAAGGUGUUGAAACUUCAAGUUGCUCUUGACAAGUUUGGUUGAAGUGUAUACUACAUAACAUACAGAUUUUGUGUACCCAAAAAUAUUGAAGACAACAUGUUAAACACCCUUCACUUUCAACUCAAAGUUUGUGAGUUCGAGUCACCAAAGGAGCAUAAGGGACGGGAGCAGUGUCGGAACCAGGAUUUUCACUAAGGGGUUCAUAAGUGAAUAUAAAAACUAAUCGAAGGAGGUUUAACAUCUACUAUAUAUACAUAAAAAUAAUUUUAACCCUGUAUAUAUAACAUAAUUUUUCACCGAAGGGAGUUCGAAUAAACCCCUACCUCAAAUGUAGCUCCGCCCCUGGGCGGGUGGUAGCAAAAGAGUUGGGAGCUACUCAGGAUGGGUUAAAAAGAUUUAAAAAGUUUAAGAAUAAGUUGGAUUUCAUGCAAUAUCAAUUAUUAUAGAGUUAUAUUCUAGAAAUUCCAAAAUUUGGCAACUUGUCUCCAAAGUGUUUGUUAUUUACUGUUGAUUUUACUUAUGGGAGAGGGAAAAACAGAACAAUUAAAAAGAGAUACGUGGCCAGUAUGAAUCAUCUUCAAAUAGAAAUUAAUUUUGUCCUCAUAAAUGAACAUGAUGAAGUUGUGUUUGAAAAGAUCAAAUAAAUUCAAAAGAUACCUACUAUAGUAGCUCAAGUCAAAAAUAUCAAACAAAUUAGGAUAUUUACAGUACCUAAGAUUAAUCACCAGUUCACCUCCACAUUGAUAAAAACAAAGUAGCUAGAUUAGUUAAUAAAAAAAAGAAAAGAAAAGAAAAGAAAAAACUAAGACCUCUAGUUCUAGUAUCGUCCUAUUUUCCUAGUUCCUAGUUAUUUAUAAGCAGUUCUCAACCGUAUUUUCUUUUAAUGAAAGACAACUCUAAUUUAUUAGUAUCAUAAAAUAGCUGCUAUAUUUUAAAGGGAGUAGUAUUUUUUGUUCUUGUAAAUGCUGAUUCUAGUUUUGUGAUGUAUGAUUCAACAUAUUUAGCUUUCAGUUAUUUUUUUUACGUAGAAAAUAUGUUAUAUCUAGACUAUUUUUAGAAGUGUACUACUCUCAAUUAUACGGUAACAAUACAACUUUAAUAUAACAAGUAGAUAGUUAAACAAUUUGUUGAUAAAAAAAAAAGAUAGUUAAAACAGUUGAACAAUUGAUAAAUUUAAAAUUUAGUGAAUAUUUAUAAGCAAAUAGAUAAAAAGAAUUGCACAUUUCAAACAAUUGAAGGGCAAAUUUUCUUAAUCAAAUAUCACAAGGAUUAAGAUUAUAAUUUAUCAGUUGUUAAGGGACCAAAAGUUCUAUUCAAUUCAAAUAGAAAACAUAUAGAGCCAAAUAUACUCCUAAUUAUUUAAUUCAAAAUAAAAUAACUUUGUCUCCGUUACAUUUUGGGAACAAAAUUCACUUAUCAUUAGUCAAAUAGCUUAAGGAUACUCUUCCAUCAGGCCAAGUAACUCUUAAAAAAAACACCUUCUCUAAUAACAGUGGAAAAAGAUAUAUAUCAAAGGUUUUAUCUUGUGAACCAUAUUAAUAUGCUGGCCGUUGACCAAUUAGAGAGUAGUCUGAAAUUAACCAAACGCAGUGGACCAUCAAAAACUUCACGAGAAAGUUAUUCCACUCCCUCUGUCUAAUUUUAAUUGGACAUAUUUUAUAUUUACAUGGUGAUUAAAAAAAUUAUAAAUUAAAGAAUGAAUUUUAUUAUUUUAUCCUUUAGAAUAUCAAUGAUACUUAUUGGGCAUAGGAAUGAACAUUGAAAUUAAAAUUAUUUACAUUUAAUGUAUACAAUUAUUUAUUGGGGUAAAAUGAGAAAAUAAUAAUUAAUUCUAUCAUGAUUUAGUAAGUGAUCAACUAAUACGAUACAUUUAUUUUUAGUAAGAUGACCAACUAAAAUAGAAUGGAGGGAGUAUGUAAAUUACUCAUCUUUCGUUUUACUAGACUGCUAUACUUAAAAUAGUUAUUUUUCAAUUUACUUGUCCAAUCUAUGAAAGUAAAAAGAAUUUAUUAUAUUUUUCUCUUUCUACCCUAGUAUUAAAUAACUCCAAUAAAGUACCAACUCUCCCUCUCAAAUAUCGUUUUUCUUGACUCUUAUACUAAAAAUAGUUAUUUUAAUUUAUAAAAUCAAGAGAAUUUUGUCAUAUAUUUUUUCUAACUCUUAGUAUUAAAUAAAUACAUAAAGAAAAAUAGUCAAAUUUAGAAUUCAAAACAUCAUUAAUAAUGUUAAUUUAGAGAAAUACACCUUUAGCUAAAAAUUUUUAACGAGUAUAUCAAGUCAACAAGGUUCAAGUAAAAUAAAGCAAAGAGAGCAAUUAUAGUCAUGUUAAGAGUUCCAAGACAUUACAAAUAAAGUUAAUCUAAUAGCAUACAUUUUUUAUCAACGUUUUCGUGCCAAGUCAACAAAGGCCAAGUAAAAUAAUACGAAGGAGUAAUACUUCCCUCCCAUCCGUUUCAUUUUAUUUUAUACAUGAUAUUGAUUAGGUAUGAAAUUUUAAGAAAAAAUAAGUCUUUUUUUUAAAAAAAAAAAUUGUGAUCUUAGUAUUUAUAAGACUAAAAAAUUGUCAUUUAAUAUAAAAGUAAAAUUGAAAUUAAAUUGUUUUCAAAUUUAUAAAUCGUCAUUUAUUUCAGAACAAACUAUAUAGGAGGGAGUAUAAAUGGUCUUGCAAUUCAAGAUUUCAACACCUUAAAUCAACAUUCAACAACUAACCAAUAAUAUCUCAAACAGAUCUUUACUUCAUUAUUUGUCAAAAAAAAAAUCAAAAAAAAUAAGUGUUUUGCUAAUUUAAUUAUUUGCUUAAGAUACAAACUUUCUUUCCCCACUAAGCAAAUAUUCAAACUUAAUGAAUUCAUUCACCUUUUCAACUAAUUGCCAAACUUUGUAAGGAUGCUUAAAGUGAGAAGUUGGUCACUGCUUUACUUUUCUUUUCUCCCAUGCCAUAAGAAGAAGAAAGAAAUACUAUUCAACAAGGCAACCCAAUU
rnacentral:lncRNA from 1 species